rnacentral:rRNA from 1 species
AUGGCGGCAAAGAAACAUCUCUUUCGCUUUGGGUCUUUCGCGAUAAAAGACGAGUCGGAGAUUCGAUUCUGGGAAGACAUCUGGCUAGGCAAUGCCAGUCGCAGAGAACAAUAUCCAGCCUUAUAUAACAUUGCUCGUGAUAAGAACAACACUAUUGUGCACGUGCUCAGUUCAUCCCCAUCGAACAUUUCGUUUAGGCGGGAUUUGAUUGGCCCCAGACUUAUGUCAUGGCAUAAUCUUUUGUCCCGGUUGGAUUCGAUUAACCUGACACAAGGUCGGGAUAUGUUUCGCUGGAACCUUACUACAUCAGGGUCUUUUACAGUAGACUCUAUGUACCGUGCGCUCACACAUUCUGAGGUAUCAGUGAGUAAUAACAAGAAAAUUUGGAAGUCCAAGAUUCCACUAAAAGUGAAAAUUUUCAUGUGGUAUCUUCGUAAGGGAGUUGUGUUGACCAAAGACAACCUCGCACGACGCAACUGGUCAGGGAGUAAGAAGUGUUGUUUUUGUACUCAUGACGAGACAAUCAAACACCUCUUUUUUCAAUGCAAGUUUGCACGUUCUACGUGA